rnacentral:lncRNA from 1 species
GGAAUGAAUAUUCGACUAGUUGGGGAAGCUAAUGAUUAUGUUGGAAAGGUAAUGCAGUUCCUGCCCUCAUGAACAGUCUUUUUUUCCCUUCAAUUAAGAUUGUCAAAUUUUCACAGGGUAUGGCUGGCGGAGAGCUGGUAGUAACACCUGUUGAUGACACUGGUUUCUGCCCGGAGGAUGCUACAAUAGUAGGUAACACCUGUCUAUAUGGUGCAACUGGUGGUCAAAUCUUUGUGAGAGGGAAAGCAGGUGAGCGAUUUGCCGUUAGAAAUUCUCUUGUGGAAGCUGUAGUUGAGGGCACUGGGGAUCAUUGUUGCGAGUACAUGACUGGUGGAUGUGUGGUGGUAC